rnacentral:rRNA from 1 species
UACGGAGGGUGCGAGCGUUGUCCGGAAUCACUGGGCGUAAAGGGCGCGUAGGUGGCCUGAUGAGUCAACGGUGAAAGCUCGUCGCUUAACGACGAGUCGGCCGUCGAUACUGUCGGGCUGGAGCACUGUAGAGGCAGAUGGAAUUCCGGGUGUAGCGGUGGAAUGCGUAGAGAUCCGGAAGAACACCGGUGGCGAAGGCGGGUCUCUGGGCCGAAAUUGACGCUGAGGAGCGAAAGCGUGGGGAGCAAACAGG